rnacentral:rRNA from 1 species
UACGUAGGGAGCAAGCGUUGUCCGGAAUCAUUGGGCGUAAAGCGCGCGUAGGUGGCUCUGUAAGUCCGUUGGGAAAGUCAAAGGCUCAACCUUUGAAAGCCGAUGGAUACUGCAGAGCUAGAGUACGGAAGAGGCGAGUGGAAUUCCUGGUGUAGCGGUGGAAUGCGCAGAGUAUCAGGAGGAACACCAAUAGCGAAGGCAGCUCGCUGGGACGUUACUGACACUGAGGCGCGAAAGCGUGGGGAGCGAACAGG